rfam:Morus notabilis contig44076, whole genome shotgun sequence.
GUUGGGCAUAUGAUGAAUCUGGUUUGUACAAAUGGGUAAUUUGCGUCUGAAUUUAUCAUUGAUGCUAUAUCACCUUGGAGACCUGAUGCCCUUU